GUACUCCUAGCAGCUAGCCCCCCCCCCAAAAAACAACAAACACCAUUAAUAACCCCUAAUAAACCACACCCUAAAAAACAAACCAUUUUUCCUCCCUAGUAUGGGCGACAGAAAAG
rnacentral:rRNA from 1 species